rnacentral:rRNA from 1 species
AACAUGUACUGUAGUGGGGGAUAGCCCGGCGAAAGCCGGAUUAAUACCGCAUACGAUCUACGGAUGAAAGCGGGGGACCUUCGGGCCUCGCGCUAUAGGGUUGGCCGAUGGCUGAUUAGCUAGUUGGUGGGGUAAAGGCCUACCAAGGCGACGAUCAGUAGCUGGUCUGAGAGGACGACCAGCCACACUGGGACUGAGACACGGCCCAGACUCCUACGGGAGGCAGCAGUGGGGAAUUUUGGACAAUGGGCGAAAGCCUGAUCCAGCAAUGCCGCGUGUGUGAAGAAGGCCUUCGGGUUGUAAAGCACUUUUGUCCGGAAAGAAAUCCUUGGCUCUAAUACAGUCGGGGGAUGACGGUACCGGAAGAAUAAGCACCGGCUAACUACGUGCCAGCAGCCGCGGUAAUACGUAGGGUGCGAGCGUUAAUCGGAAUUACUGGGCGUAAAGCGUGCGCAGGCGGUUUGCUAAGACCGAUGUGAAAUCCCCGGGCUCAACCUGGGAACUGCAUUGGUGACUGGCAGGCUAGAGUAUGGCAGAGGGGGGUAGAAUUCCACGUGUAGCAGUGAAUGCGUAGAGAUGUGGAAGAAUACCGAUGGCAAAGGCAGCCCCCUGGGCCAAUACUGACGCUCAUGCACAAAGCGUGGGAGCAACCGGAUUAGAUACCCUGGAGUCCACGCCCUAACGAUGUCACUAGUUGUGGGGAUUCAUUCCUUAGAACAGAACUAACGCGU